CACCGCUGCUACCAUACAAGGGGGGGCGCCGACGUCCACCAAUAUUCCCCAGAAUACGUCGACGAUGAUGAUCUCUACCACUAAUCUUAGACAUGAAACUAAAACCUAACUCAGACCAGCUACUAGCCGGCCGCCAUUGGAGCUGUUGGAAGGCUAACAUACUACACCUCGGCCUCCGCGGCAUGUCCAUCGGGUCCCGCCAUG
rnacentral:lncRNA from 1 species